rnacentral:rRNA from 1 species
CCUACGGGAGGCAGCAGUGGGGAAUAUUGGGCAAUGGAGGCAACUCUGACCCAGCAACGCCGCGUGAAUGAUGAAGGUCUUCUGAUUGUAAAGUUCUGUUAUGGGGGAUGAACACAAUGACGGUCCCCCAAUAGCACUCCACGGCUAACUACGUGCCCGCAGCCGCGGUAAUACGUAGGUGGCAAGCGUUCUCCGGAAUGACUGGGCGUAAAGGGUGCGUAGGGGGUUUAGUAAGUUGGCGGUGUAAUUCCGGGGCUCAACCUCGGCGCUACCGCCAAAACUAUUAGACUAGAGGGCAGGAGGGGUAAGUGGAAUUCCUAGUGUAGCGGUGGAAUGCGUAGAUAUUAGGAGGAACAUCAGGGGCGAAGGCGAUUACUGGACUGUAACUGACACUGAGGCACGAAAGCGUGGGGAGCAAACAGGAUUAGAUACCCUUGUAGUC